AACGAACGCUGGCGGCGUGGAUUAGGCAUGCGAGUCGAACGAGAAAGUGGCCUUCGGGCCAUGAGUAAAGUGGCGAAAGGGUGAGUAAUGCAUAGACAACCUACCCUGGGCUCGGGGACAACGACUGGAAACGGUCGCUAAUACCCGAUGACGCCAUGUGUCGCAUGGCACAUGGUUAAAGUUAGGGAUCCUUCGGGACCUUGCGGCUCAGGAGGGGUCUAUGUCCCAUCAGCUUGUUGGUGAGGUAAGAGCUCACCAAGGCAUAGACGGGUAGGAGGCCUGAGAGGGUGCCCUCCCACACUGGGACUGAGACACUGCCCAGACUCCUACGGGAGGCUGCAGUCGAGAAUCAUUCGCAAUGGGGCGAAAGCCUGACGAUGCGACGCCGCGUGGAGGAUGAAGGCUUUCGGGUUGUAAACUCCUGUCAGGGGUUAGGAAAGGCAUGGACGUUAAUAGCGGACAUGUUUGACAAAAGCCUCAGAGGAAGCUCCGGCUAAAUCCGUGCCAGCAGCCGCGGUAAGACGGAUGGAGCUAGCGUUGUUCGGAAUCACUGGGCAUAAAGCGCAUGUAGGCGGCCUUGUAAGUCAGGUGUGAAAUCCCCCGGCUCACCCGGGGAACUGCAUUUGAUACUGCAAAGCUUGAGUGAAGGAGGGGAGUGUGGAACUGCUGGUGGAGCGGUAAAAUGCGUAGAUAUCAGCAGGAACGCCGGUGGAGAAGUCGACACUCUGGCCUUUUACUGACGCUGAGAUGCGAAAGCCAGGGGAGCGAACGGGAUUAGAUACCCCGGUAGUCCUAGCCGUAAACGAUGGGCACUAGGUAGAGGGAACACCGACGUUUUCCCUGCCGAAGCUAAUGUGAUAAGUGCCCCGCCUGGGGAGUACGGCCGCAAGGCUAAAACUCAAAGGAAUUGACG
rnacentral:rRNA from 1 species